GCUCGUCCAGAGCACAACUCGUUUCGUAACAAAAAAUGUAAAAAUUUCCAAAUUAUUGUGUAAUUGAGUUUCACCCUUUUGAUAACUUAAAUACUCGCCAUUGCUUUUUGUAAAGCAAUGGCAAGUGGUUUUAUAGCUCCGGCAACACGAAAAAACACCUGACAAUUCCAUGACUGGACUACACUAAUUACAAUACAAUCGAAUCGAUGGAACCGGUCCCGUUGGACGAGUAGCUUGCAUCGAUUCUAACAUGUGAUACACAAAUCGGCUAAAAACUACAUACUAAUAUCAUAUAUGGGUUUAUAUGGCUUAAUGUGCGCUUAUAUGGAUUAAAAAUAAAAUAUUGUUAAAUC
ensembl:ncRNA lncRNA:CR32657 long non-coding RNA:CR32657